GUGGGAUGGGGUUAGACAUUCAAAGAUUUGUAUUGAGGUAGGCUGCCUUAUGGAUUGAGUCGGUUUCUUUUUUUAUGCUCAAAGCUUCUCCACCGAGCCGCGGACCAGUCAAGUGAUUCAUUCAGGCAACGAACCAGUUGCUGCUUCGGACGUCACAUGUCACGUGUUUUUUUUUGCUCUGAAGCAAGCUUCGAAGCAGUGCUUCUUGGGAGUUGGUUUGAAACACGUAUCGAAGCUUCAGUGUCACACUGCCAUCGCUACAGUCAGAGUUCCAAGUUUAUAGGGUCACGUUGGUCCCGUCUACCCAGCUCCAUGUCCCAUUCCCAGCCGUGUCUGACAGGCCCAGCCAGUAGCCCUUAAUAUCACUUGUAGAACUGGAGCUGUUAUAAGUGACGAGAUUCUGUCCUCCCGGGCUUCAGCCCAUGUCUUCCCUUCAACAUCAUCGUCCACAAUCACAGAGCAGCUGGAAUUACCAUUUACCCAUCCAGUUUCACAAGGUCUACACACUGAGAACAAGCAGAGACAAAGCAAGACGCAGGACAUGCCGUUGGUGGGGAAUAUAAAUAUAUUUGUGUUAUUGCUAAAUAAAAUAUCAGCAUAUUUAUGAGUUUAAUCUUACUUGGACUCUGGCCCUGUUUGGUGCGGCAGUAUGUGUCAAUGGUCUUCUGAGCACAGGUGUCGGUGAGCCUAUUGGCUUCUUUUAGUUCGGUUAGCUCUGUCUUUAGAUCCUGGUUUUCGUUGAUAAAAACGUCACAGCUUCUGCUCUGGUUGCUGUGACUCCUCACCAGGUUUUCAUUGGAUGAUGUGAGGUUUCCAACAACUGCCUCCAGGUGGUCUUGAUAUGCCAGCAGUGUUGUUUGGUUUUCUUUUAAUUCUUGCAAUUGACUUACCAACUCAUGAUUUCCUUUAAAAACUGUAGAAACAGCCACAACAAUGAUUGAUCAUCAAACCCACAAUAGGAAAUAUUCCAGUGCAACCAAUCAAUCAAUCCAUUUGUAACAACACAUUUAGAGUAAUCACUUACUGAAUAAAUAAUAGGAGAUGAGCAGA